AAUAAACCCUGACACUCAACAACUCCCCGAGUGCCUGCCGCCCCGGGAGGAGAGUACAGAUUGGUUAUGAAUCCGGCCAGCCGCGCGUGCUGCACACCCGCCCCGGAGUUCUCGCAAGUGCACGACAUGGACCGUUGGGUGUUUACUUAAGAUAAGAGCUAUGGAGCCGCCAGAGCGGCCAAGCUGCCUCCUAGGCGAUGAGCAGCACGGCCCCAAAGACCCCCCAGAGCCUAAGGUUCCAUCUCGGCGCAAUGUCAGGUGCGCGGCGCACCUGCAGCUAGGUUACGCUGAGACACCUUACCUCGGAGUGGAGUUCCUCCCAACGGCCUCGCCUGAUCAUCGGUCACCGCAAAGGCCUCCUUUGUAACAACAAAGCCAGAAAGAAAGGCUUAUGCUUCCUUGUUCGUCACAGCCCCGCCAGACUCAGAUGUCACAGUCAACUCUGCAAAUCAGUUGUGAAAACACGACUAUAAAAGAAGCCAGAACAGGAUCAGUAUGUGCACAGAGCGGGACACCGGCUGGAGAAGAAAACCAGCAGAAGCACAGCAAGAUGACAUCCAGGUAAAUAACAA